rnacentral:lncRNA from 1 species
CUUCUCUUUCUCUUUGUAGCUUGAACAACACAUACCUAUCAAAGUUCAGACUCUUUUCUCUUUCCAUUUCAAAGUUCUCUCUCAGGUGGGAAAGGUGAAAGCAUAUUGUGCUUCUCAAAUUCUGUUUUCUUUGAUGUUGGGAUCCUAGCUCAGUUGUAAUUGAAGGAGCCUCAUCACUUGGUGGGGUGGGAAAGUAUAUGCAACUAUGCACAAUGCAUAUUUUUCUUCAACCAUAUAUGGUGUCAGCUGCAAAGAAUCACUCCCUUUAUCUUUCAAUGGUGUCAUACCCCAAUUUUUGA